rnacentral:tRNA from 1 species
GCCUUUCUAGUUUAAUAAAAACGUUAGAUUGUUAAUCUAAAGUUACUAAGUAGUGAGGGGUU